UUUUAAAUGAAAAUAGUCGGUUUACAGAUACAGCAACAAACUCAUUAUAUGGCGGAAAAAAUCGAGUCCAUUAUAAUUUUGCAUUAGAUUGGAGAAAUCGCCACAAGAAGUUUCCCGAGAAAGCCUGAACCUCCCGUGAUUAAAACAUUGCAGCCGGCGUAGAAGUUGGUUACUUCGCUUAUCCCUUCGGCAGCAUCGACAUUUGAUUGAUCUUUCAUGUUGAACAUGUCGUCGAGAUUUGCAACUCAAGUACAGGAACAGUCCAGAAUUACACCAUCUAUGCUUACUGAAUUGAUGAAGCACAAGUUCCUACAUAGAUAUAAGAUGCCAGCAUUCUACCCUUUUGAAUAUUCAGACUGCCAAGUCAGAACA